rnacentral:rRNA from 1 species
UACGUAGGGUCCGAGCGUUGUCCGGAAUUACUGGGCGUAAAGAGCUCGUAGGUGGUUUGUCGCGUUGUUCGUGAAAACUCACAGCUCAACUGUGGGCGUGCGGGCGAUACGGGCGGGCUAGAGUUCGGUAGGGGAGAUCGGAAUUCCUGGUGUAGCGGUGAAAUGCGCAGAUAUCAGGAGGAACACCGGUGGCGAAGGCGGAUCUCUGGGCCUUACCUGACGCUCAGGUGCGAAAGCUAGGGGAGCGAACAGG